GCGAUGGAUAACAGGUUGAUAUUCCUGUACCACCUAUAAUCGUUUUAAUCGAUGGGGGGACGCAGUAGGAUAGGCGAAGCGUGCGAUUGGAUUGCACGUCUAAGCAGUAAGGCUGAGUAUUAGGCAAAUCCGGUACUCGUUAAGGCUGAGCUGUGAUGGGGAGAAGACAUUGUGUCUUCGAGUCGUUGAUUUCACACUGCCGAGAAAAGCCUCUAGAUAGAAAAUAGGUGCCCGUACCGCAAACCGACACAGGUAGUCAAGAUGAGAAUUCUAAGGUGAGCGAGCGAACUCUCGUUAAGGAACUCGGCAAAAUGACCCCGUAACUUCGGGAGAAGGGGUGCUCUUUAGGGUUAACGCCCAGAAGAGCCGCAGUGAAUAGGCCCAAGCGACUGUUUAUCAAAAACACAGGUCUCUGCUAAACCGUAAGGUGAUGUAUAGGGGCUGACGCCUGCCCGGUGCUGGAAGGUUAAGAGGAGUGGUUAGCUUCUGCGAAGCUACGAAUCGAAGCCCCAGUAAACGGCGGCCGUAACUAUAACGGUCCUAAGGUAGCGAAAUUCCUUGUCGGGUAAGUUCCGACCCGCACGAAAGGCGUAACGAUUUGGGCACUGUCUCAACGAGAGACUCGGUGAAAUCAUAGUACCUGUGAAGAUGCAGGUUACCCGCGACAGGACGGAAAGACCCCGUGGAGCUUUACUGUAGCCUGAUAUUGAAAUUCGGCACAGCUUGUACAGGAUAGGUAGGAGCCUUUGAAACGUGAGCGCUAGCUUACGUGGAGGCGCUGGUGGGAUACUACCCUAGCUGUGUUGGCUUUCUAACCCGCACCACUUAUCGUGGUGGGAGACAGUGUCAGGCGGGCAGUUUGACUGGGGCGGUCGCCUCCUAAAAGGUAACGGAGGCGCUCAAAGGUUCCCUCAGAAUGGUUGGAAAUCAUUCAUAGAGUGUAAAGGCAUAAGGGAGCUUGACUGCGAGACCUACAAGUCGAGCAGGGUCGAAAGACGGACUUAGUGAUCCGGUGGUUCCGCAUGGAAGGGCCAUCGCUCAACGGAUAAAAGCUACCCCGGGGAUAACAGGCUUAUCUCCCCCAAGAGUUCACAUCGACGGGGAGGUUUGGCACCUCGAUGUCGGCUCAUCGCAUCCUGGGGCUGUAGUCGGUCCCAAGGGUUGGGCUGUUCGCCCAUUAAAGCGGUACGCGAGCUGGGUUCAGAACGUCGUGAGACAGUUCGGUCCCUAUCCGUCGUGGGCGUAGGAAAUUUGAGAGGAGCUGUCCUUAGUACGAGAGGACCGGGAUGGACAUACCUCUGGUGUACCAGUUGUCGUGCCAACGGCAUAGCUGGGUAGCUAUGUGUGGACGGGAUAAGUGCUGAAAGCAUCUAAGCAUGAAGCCCCCCUCAAGAUGAGAUUUCCCAACUUCGGUUAUAAGAUCCCUCAAAGAUGAUGAGGUUAAUAGGUUCGAGGUGGAAGCAUGGUGACAUGUGGAGCUGACGAAUACUAAUCGAUCGAAGACUUAAUCAA
rnacentral:rRNA from 1 species